rnacentral:rRNA from 1 species
GAUGAACGCUGGCGGCGUGCCUAAUACAUGCAAGUCGAGCGAACAGAACAGGAGCUUGCUCCUUUGACGUUAGCGGCGGACGGGUGAGUAACACGUGGAUAACCUACCUAUAAGACUGGGAUAACUUCGGGAAACCGGAGCUAAUACCGGAUAACAUAUUGAACCGCAUGGUUCAAUAGUGAAAGGCGGCUUUGCUGUCACUUAUAGAUGGAUCCGCGCCGUAUUAGCUAGUUGGUAAGGUAACGGCUUACCAAGGCAACGAUACGUAGCCGACCUGAGAGGGUGAUCGGCCACACUGGAACUGAGACACGGUCCAGACUCCUACGGGAGGCAGCAGUAGGGAAUCUUCCGCAAUGGGCGAAAGCCUGACGGAGCAACGCCGCGUGAGUGAUGAAGGUCUUCGGAUCGUAAAACUCUGUUAUCAGGGAAGAACAAAUGUGUAAGUAACUGUGCACAUCUUGACGGUACCUGAUCAGAAAGCCACGGCUAACUACGUG